AACGAACGCUGGCGGCAGGCCUAACACAUGCAAGUCGAGCGUGCCCUUCGGGGUGAGCGGCGGACGGGUGAGUAACGCGUGGGAACGUGCCCUUCUCUGCGGAAUAGCCUCGGGAAACUGAGAGUAAUACCGCAUACGCCCUUUGGGGGAAAGAUUUAUCGGGGAAGGAUCGGCCCGCGUUGGAUUAGGUAGUUGGUGGGGUAAUGGCCCACCAAGCCGACGAUCCAUAGCUGGUUUGAGAGGAUGAUCAGCCACACUGGGACUGAGACACGGCCCAGACUCCUACGGGAGGCAGCAGUGGGGAAUCUUAGACAAUGGGGGCAACCCUGAUCUAGCCAUGCCGCGUGAGUGAUGAAGGCCUUAGGGUUGUAAAGCUCUUUCAGCUGGGAAGAUAAUGACGGUACCAGCAGAAGAAGCCCCGGCUAACUCCGUGCCAGCCGCCGCCGUAA
rnacentral:rRNA from 1 species